ACUCCGGGAACCGGGGCUAAUACCGGAUGGUUGUUUGAACCGCAUGGUUCAAACAUAAAAGGUGGCUUCGGCUACCACUUACAGAUGGACCCGCGGCGCAUUAGCUAGUUGGUGAGGUAACGGCUCACCAAGGCGACGAUGCGUAGCCGACCUGAGAGGGUGAUCGGCCACACUGGGACUGAGACACGGCCCAGACUCCUACGGGAGGCAGCAGUAGGGAAUCUUCCGCAAUGGACGAAAGUCUGACGGAGCAACGCCGCGUGAGUGAUGAAGGUUUUCGGAUCGUAAAGCUCUGUUGUUAGGGAAGAACAAGUACCGUUCGAAUAGGGCGGUACCUUGACGGUACCUAACCAGAAAGCCACGGCUAACUACGUGCCAGCAGCCCGGGUAAUA
rnacentral:rRNA from 1 species